AGAACGAACGCUGGCGGCAUGCCUAAUACAUGCAAGUCGAACGAACUCUUCGGAGUUAGUGGCGCACGGGUGCGUAACGCGUGGGAAUCUGCCCCUUGGUUCGGAAUAACAGUUGGAAACGACUGCUAAUACCGGAUGAUGACGAAAGUCCAAAGAUUUAUCGCCAAGGGAUGAGCCCGCGUAGGAUUAGCUAGUUGGUGAGGUAAAGGCUCACCAAGGCAACGAUCCUUAGCUGGUCUGAGAGGAUGAUCAGCCACACUGGGACUGAGACACGGCCCAGACUCCUACGGAAGGCAGCAGUGGGGAAUAUGGACAAUGGGCGAAAGCCUGAUCCAGCAAUGCCGCGUGAGUGAUGAAGGCCUUAGGUUGUAAAGCUCUUUUACCCGGGAAGAUAAUGACUGUACCGGAGAAUAAGCUCCGGCUAACUCCGUGCCAGCAGCCGC
rnacentral:rRNA from 1 species